UCUAGAAGAUGUAAGACCUUCU
rnacentral:snRNA from 1 species